GUUGUUACUUCUAGAAGCUAGAAGAAAGGGAUGUGUUUCUCAGCUAUGUUGGGGCAGAGGAUUCUGGGAGCAAGGAGUUGGGCUUGCAGGCCUGUGUUCUUCCCUGGCCACACCCUCUACAUCUUCCCAAUAAAUGGCCCAGUGUCACAGAACAGGCCGGAAAUGAGGCCCCAACUCAUUCUGCUUCCUGAGUUGGGGGUGGUGAAGGGCAAGGUCCAGCCUUAUGAUUCCCACUCCCCAGGGCCAGCCAAGUCUCGGGAUGGUGAACGUACUGUCUAUUGCAACGUACACAAGCAUGAACCCCUUGUGCUGUUUUGUGAGAGCUGUGAUACUCUCACCUGCCGAGACUGUCAGCUCAAUGCCCACAAGGACCACCAGUACCAGUUCUUAGAGGAUGCAGUGAGGAACCAGCGCAAGCUCCUGGCCUCACUGGUGAAGCGCCUUGGGGACAAACAUGCAACAUUGCAGAAGAGCACCAAGGAGGUUCGCAGCUCGUAAGUGUGGGUUCUGGGGCUGUGGGGGUGGCCCAGGGCAGCAAGACCCUACCUAUCCUGACCUGCUCUGUCCUCUAGAAUCCGCCAGGUGUCUGACGUACAGAAGCGUGUGCAAGUGGAUGUCAAGAUGGCCAUCCUGCAGAUCAUGAAGGAGCUGAAUAAGCGGGGCCGUGUGCUGGUCAACGAUGCCCAG
rnacentral:sRNA from 1 species